GGUGGCUCAGUGGUAGAGCACUUGCCUGGCAUGCCUGAGGCCCUGGGUUCAAUUCCUCAGCACCA
rnacentral:tRNA from 1 species